rnacentral:lncRNA from 10 species
UUUUCAAAUGAGCAGUAAAAAUAAUUCUUUAAAAAAAAGAUUAUUUUUUUAGAUGUCUGGUACUAAAAAUUCAGUAGGGCUCUUUAAUCCUUAUAUGAGCAUUGUCAGCAUUUGCAUAAAAUCAUGUCAAAGUAUUUGAAAAAAUGUCAUCAGGAUAUGAAUAUGUAUACCAGAAAAUAAAAAAAUUCAAAUGAGACAUGACUUUUGAAGUGAAAAAUAUAGUAAAUUAUUUAAUCAACCUACUCAGGGUAACAGGAUGAUCACUGAAGAAAAAUUUACCUGUGAGAAAGCCACAAUCAGUGAUUAUAAGAAGAGAUGAAGAAUCAUAUACUUAGCAGUCAUGACAUUAAAAUUUCUAUGAGGUAUACCAUGUCGCAUUACCUAAGUUUAAAAUGUCCAUAUGUCUGUACCAUUCACAAAGAAUCUUUGUAUGUGCUGAACCUGUCUGCUGACUGGGACACUAUGUCAGUGAUACCAGGUUUACCCAGAGAUGAGAGGUGUUAAUAGUAUAAACUCAGAAAUGAAGAAUAUAAAGUCAAUCAGAGGGAAAAUAUGGGGAAGUUGCUACAUAAAGCAGGAACAGGAAAUACAAAGGGCUUAAGAGAGAUGAAUCACUUUUACACAAAACAGCAAGGAAGCUGUUGCACUUCAAUCGUAAUAAACAGUGGAGAGGGGAAGAGAAGUAUAAGAGAUGGCUGAGUUAGCAAGGGGCCAAAUUAUGUCAGCCAUGAUAUUUAGUUGUAUAGGUAUUUUUAAAUUUGGAAUGGAGAGGCUAUUCAAAGGUUUUAAGCCAAAGAAGUGACAUAAUCUGAAGUAUAUUUUCAAAGUUUAUUUUAGCUGCUAAAGUGAAAAAAUGGAGACCAACAGAAAACUAUAGCAAGUAGACCAGAUGAAAAUGAUGGUGUCUUGGAACAGGAUUGAGUGAACAAGGAUGGAAAAAAAAAGCAAACAGAUUGAAGAUAUAUUUAGGAGCUACAAUAUGAGAAAAGCAGUCGUGUCCUUGAUGGGUGUGGUAAGAAACUCUCUUUAUUUAUCAGUCAUGCAGGUUUUUUUAAAUAAAACACUUAACCAUUUGUUUAUUCAUUCAUUCAUUUUACAUGUAUUAAUCACUCACCAGGUGUUGGACACCUUUCUACAUCAGUAGUAAAACAGAUAAAGAUCCCUCUGUCAUUCUAGCACGAAGAGAUGAGUAGCAAACACAAAAGCUAGACAAAGUAUCUAACUUUAAAAGACACACCCAAUGAUA